UGGAGGAAAGCAGGGGAUCGUAAGACCUUGCGCUUUUGGAGCGGCCGAUGUCUGAUUAGCUAGUUGGUGGGGUAAUGGCCUACCAAAGCUUCGAUCAGUAGCUGGUCUGAGAGGACGGCCAGCCACACUGGGACUGAGACACGGCCCAGACUCCUACGGGAGGCAGCAGUGGGGAAUUUUGGACAAUGGGCGCAAGCCUGAUCCAGCCAUGCCGCGUGAGUGAAGAAGGCCUUCGGGUUGUAAAGCUCUUUCAGCCGGGAAGAAAAGGUUGCGACUAAUAAUCGCAGUUCAUGACGGUACCGGAAGAAGAAGCACCGGCUAACUACGUGCCAGCAGCCGCGGUAAUACGUAGGGUGCGAGCGUUAAUCGGAAUUACUGGGCGUAAAGGGUGCGCAGGCGGUUUUGUAAGUCAGAUGUGA
rnacentral:rRNA from 1 species